UACGUAGGGAGCGAGCGUUGUCCGGAAUUACUGGGUGUAAAGGGAGCGUAGGCGGGAAUACAAGUUGAAUGUCAAAUCUAUCGGCUCAACCGAUAGCCGCGUUCAAAACUGUAAUUCUUGAGUGAAGUAGAGGUUGGCGGAAUUCCUAGUGUAGCGGUGAAAUGCGUAGAUAUUAGGAGGAACACCAGUGGCGAAGGCGGCCAACUGGGCUUUUACUGACGCUGAGGCUCGAAAGCGUGGGGAGCGAACA
rnacentral:rRNA from 1 species